UCAGAAUUACAACCUUCUACAUCUAUGCAAACUUUUAUUUGUCGGAGAAUUCCUUUCUCUAGGAGAAAGAGAAAUAGUCACCAUGUGAAAGGCUGAUUUCUGACACACGGGGCUUUACCCCUCCCCCGGCGUGGGGAAAAAUAUCUCCCGUGGAUAUCUUUAAACUGCGCACAAUCCAUAACUUUGGCAAUGUAUAUGUAGUGUUAUUUCUGCAAGGCAGUUUUCCAGGGUUAGGGGAGGUGGUUGCAUUUUGCUAAAUGGAUCCUUUGUGGUGAGUGCAGAUUUAUGCCCAGUUUUGAUUUAUAAUUAAAUUAGCUUCUAAUUUGCAAUAUGUGAGUCUGUGUUUAAAAUGUAUCUAAUCUGUGAAAUUGAGGACUGGGGCACUUUAAAUGAAAAUCUACCUUUCGCCUCAAGGGUUUCUUUAUGAAGGGAUAGCCGGGAGGGCAGCGUGCAGCAGGAAAGCGAGGCUGUAAUUUCCAUUAGGAGAUGUCAAUCAAUCUUUCUUUUCAAUACAUCAAUUAAUAAAUCCGAUUGGUACUGCGGGCUGCUCACCCCCACCCCCCGCCCCCGGGGCACUCUUUCUGGCCGGAUGGGGAAGUGUGAGGGGAAGGCAAACUUUGGCAGGGAAGUUCCCGCAGGCAGAGCUCGACCCGACCCGCCCUCCCCCCUCCCCUUCUCCCCCGCUCCGGCCCUGCGCGGGGCUCCGGGACCGGCUCCAGCCUCGGCGCGGCGCUGGGGGCGGCAGGCGAAGCCGGCGGGACUCCCUCCGUCGGCUCUCGGGGUUUCGCAGAACUAAAUUGACACAACUUGAACGCACACAGUAUUUUAUAGAAAUCCGGCUACAGAAAGGGAUGACUUUCCUGAACCCACGACCAACGUAAAAAAGAUGCUUAAAAGGAGGAGAACAUCCUCAAACUACUCCGUUGUCAUCGUCAUCAUCACCAUGUCCGUUUGAUUUAAAAACAGCACGAUAAGGGAGCACGCUCUCACUGAACGCUGUCUCGUCAGCUUUCUUUUUUCGCCUCCCAACCACACGGCUUUGUGCCCUCAGAUUUGCGGGCUACUGCUGCCGGUUUGAGUUGCCCGACACAAGCAGCGUUUUGCAUGUCUCCAGCGAGAGGGGGAACGCUGGGUGAACAGAGGGCUGCGAGUGGGAACCCGGGGGCUACGGGGCUGAACUUCGGGAAGGAAUGAAGUAAAAAGAAGAGAGAGAGAAUGAGAGAGUCUCCCAGGCAGCUCGAUCCCAUUAGCUCCGUCCUUGGGUUGCAUAUUUAUACGGUCUAGGAGGUGAACAGAUGGACUAUCAAUUUAAUUCCAUCUUCAACACCAUCAGAGAUUGAUUUUCUACUCGCUUUUAAUUUUGCCAUAAUUAAUUAGAUCAUUACAACUGUUUUCUAUUGAUCUCCCUAUUUAAACCUCAGAUGCAAAGGGACUUCGGCAGAUCCUUUAAAAACACAGAAGGGAAAAGGAACAGAGGGGUUUGCAAACUUUCUGAAGGUUUUUUUCAGUUUUGACUUAGAAGAUUUUCAGUGCAGAAUAGCAAAAAACUGCCUCUGUGUCCUUUUCCUUUAGGAGGCCUUUUUCUUUGCCUUUGUAAUUUUCCUUUACGUUUUGGCGAAUCUUUGUCAUAUUUAUAUGUAGUAUACAGCAUAUAUAAUAGAUUUAAUUGGUUCGAUUAUGAAAACAUAAGCUUGCACGUGUAUAUGCAUACAUAUAUAUUCACACACAACGUGUUUAAUAUUGAGAUUUACAGAGAUGGUGCACACACAUUUAUAUAUGGGGAAACUAUCGACAGAAGAGAUGUGGUUUUCUGAAAGGCGAAUAUUUUUAUUUGCCUCCCGUACGUGUCUCUCUGUUUGUGCACUUGAAGUCCUCUCUAGGUGGGGGAUAUUUCGCCCUGCGACUCCAUCAGAAAUGACAAAGGAAAACCAGCGCUAUUAGCUCCGGUUCCUAGCCUCGGUUCCCAGCGCCCGCCGCAGCCUUUCUUUUCGAAGCCUCCCCUGCAGCAAACGACUGGCAACCGGGGCAGCAGCACGGCUCUGUGCUGGCAGUCGGCGAGGUUUGUAUUUUAAACCUCUGUAUCCUUUACCCCCCAAAAAAUCCCUAAAUUAAAAGCUCUGUUUAUAUACUUAA